GACGAACGCUGGCGGCGUGCUUAACACAUGCAAGUCGAACGAUGAAGAAGAGACACGCGAACUUCGGUUCAAAUUUCACUUCGGAUUAGUGGCAGACGGGUGAGUAACGCGUGAGCAACCUACCUCUUACAAAGGGAUAGCCUCGGGAAACCGUGAUUAAUACCAUAUGACACAUUCAUAAGGCAUCUUAAGAAUGUUAAAGCUACGGCGGUAAGAGAUGGGCUCGCGUCCCAUUAGCUAGUUGGUGAGAUAACGGCCCACCAAGGCGACGAUGGGUAACCGGCCUGAGAGGGUGAACGGUCACAUUGGAACUGAGACACGGUCCAAACUCCUACGGGAGGCAGCAGUGGGGAAUAUUGCACAAUGGAGGGAACUCUGAUGCAGCGACGCCGCGUGAGCGAUGAAGGAAUUCGUUUCGUAAAGCUCUGUUCUAUGGGAAGAAAAGGACUGUACCAUAGGAGAAAGCCCCGGCUAAAUACGUG
rnacentral:rRNA from 1 species